rnacentral:rRNA from 1 species
AUAAUCAUUUGUCUUUUAAUUAAAGACUAGAACAAAAGAUUGAACAUUUUAAUUAAUAUAUUAAAAUUAAAUAAUUUAAAUUAUUUUAAAUGUUAAAAAACAUUUAUAUAUUAGGAAGACGAUAAGACCCUAUUAAACUUAACUUUAGUUAAACUGGGGCAGUUAAUUAAUUAUUACUUUAAUAUAAAUAAUAAAACAAAUAGAUCCUAUAAAAUAGAUUAAAUGAUCAAGUUACUAUAGGGAUAACAGCGUAAUAUUAAUUUAAAGAUCUUAUUAAAAUAAAAGAUUACGACCUCGAUGUUGAAUUAAUUACCUAUAUUGUA